UCAGUUCAUGUUUUGCAACAAGUAUUAAUUCAAGACCAAACAUGAAUGCAUUAUUCUAACAACACACAUUUACAGAGAUAGACAGUGAUUUCAGAGGUAAC